AUUAAAACGGUGAAGAGGAAGAGUAGGAUAGACCCAGUCAGUAGAGAUAGGAUGCCCAGGCUGCAAGCAUUCUUUGAUAUGGAUAUAGGAAAACCCCCUCUGAGUUGAAUCUGAGUAGUCUAAUGGCAAAAAGAUUUACGGGUUGGCAACGUUACUGUCAAUAAGUGGAUUGAAUCAAUUAGGGUGGAACCGCGGGAGCUAACUCUCGUCCCUUUG
rnacentral:ncRNA from 1 species